AGUCACAUUUCAGAAAGAAAGGAAGAAAAUGGUAAUAAGAGAGAGGAGUGAACGACUGGGUUAGGCUCAAGUAAUCAGGUUGUUAGUGCCGCGUCAACAAGGACCUUUAUAAGAAUACUAAAUCAAUUAAUGGAUAAAGAAUACAUAGACGGAUAUACAUGCGUAAGUACGUAGGUGUGUUUUGCGAGUAUGCAGGGAUUUGUUGUUCUUAUGAGGCAAGAUUAUGAGCUACUGUUGCAGGCUUGACCCCGUUGAGUGAAUCCGAGAAUGAAACUAAUGGCCGUGGCUUCCGCAGGUGGAGGACAAGGACCCCGAGGAGCUAGUGGUGGUGGGAGGCGACUGGCAUGGAGGGAAGGGUCUGGAAAGCGAAACUGAGUACAUUGUGUUCAUAGUGACGGAGACCAGGGCAGGUCCCUACAGUGAAUACUUCUCGUGCAAACCAAGGAUUAUGAGGACAGCGAAUCGCCCUAAAGAGCCCGCUACUUAGGGGGUGACCGUGGCCCUGUGUUCUGCUGCGCUGUUCCUCAUUUGCUUCAUUGCACCACUGCUGAUCUCUUGUUCUAACACAGGAAGCAGCUUCCGUAGAAGAGUCGUUGUAACCCAGUCAACAAGGAAGGUAAGGCAUGAAGACAGGAAUCAUGCGGACCAUAACUAAGGCCAGCAUUCAGAGACCCUUUGUUCUCUCACCACAGCGACUGAGGUACUGUCAAAGACGACUACGAUAUGUUAAGACAAGUAGAAUCAACCUUCCAGAUACUAUAUAAUGGUUUAGGGAAUAGACCUCUGUAUUAGAUAGCUAGUAUACUCAAUAAUUUUGCUCUGUAUUGAUAUCUCUGUUUCCUUAUUCUUGAAAUAAUUAAUAAAAUGCUCAGCAAGCAAUAUUCUCUGUUGACCGUCGUAGCAAACAGUGUUGUGGUGAUUCUUUGCUCGAUGGAUUCUGUUACUACGAAACCGAGUCUUUUGUGUUGAUUCGAGUCUGUACUGGUGAUAGGCACCAAUAAACCAAACCUGGUAACUGCUACAUUCCUCACCUUCCCCUGGGCUCACUACACAACAGGUGUGGUGUCUUCAAAACGAGAAGAGAGGUGUGUUGUAUUUCAAGCCAUGGGCAUUACUUGACAACACAAGAACAUGAGGGAAGCUGCAAGAA